GAUGAACGCUAGCGGCAGGCUUAAUACAUGCAAGUCGUGGGCAGCAGGUUUGUAGCAAUACAGAUGCUGGCGACCGGCAAACGGGUGCGGAACACGUACAGAACCUUCCUUUGAGCGGGGAAUAGCCCAGAGAAAUUUGGAUUAAUACCCCAUAGUAUAAUGAAGUGGCAUCACUUUAUUAUUAAAGAUUUAUCACUCGAAGAUGGCUGUGCGGCUGAUUAGGUAGUUGGCGGGGUAAAGGCCCACCAAGCCUGCGAUCAGUAACUGGUGUGAGAGCACGACCAGUCACACGGGCACUGAGACACGGGCCCGACUCCUACGGGAGGCAGCAGUAAGGAAUAUUGGUCAAUGGAGGCAACUCUGAACCAGCCAUGCCGCGUGGAGGAUGAAGGUCCUCUGGAUUGUAAACUUCUUUAUAUGGGACGAAAAAAGGCUUUUCUAAGUCGUCUGACGGUACCAUAUGAAUAAGCACCGGCUAACUCCGUGCCAGCAGCCGACGG
rnacentral:rRNA from 1 species